GGUUAUAAUUCUAUUGUUUGAGAAUUAGUCUUGCUGUCCUUGAACGGUUCUAGUAAUUCUACUCUAGGCUGAGUUCUGUUGUACAUCUGGUCAAAUUUCUAAUGUCUUUGCAGAUCAGUAAGACCCUGCUACUUCAGGAUAUGGAUAAAGUUUCUGCUACGGACAGAUGCCUAACUUGACUGUCAUCUGGGAGGCUCCAGCCAGCAGCUGUUGGAGACAGAUGCUGGGACUUACAUCCAAGCAUGGGGCAGAACUCUGGGAAUCCUGUGGAAGUGUUGGGGGAAAGAUGGAAGGACCUGGAGGGGACAUCAACCCCACAAGAGGGAAAACAGAGACAACUAAACCAGUUCCAUGGGGGCUUAUAGAGACUGAGACAUCAAGUAAAAGCAUGAAUGAUCUGGACCUAGGCUCCCUUCACUCAUGUAGCCAAUGGACAGUUUGGUCUUCAUAUGGGGUGCCUGACGGGUGGGGGGGUGUUUCUAACAUGGACUCUAUUGUCUGCUUUUGGAUAGCUUCCCUCUGGCAGGGCUAUCUUACUUGGUCUCAGGGUACACGUUCAAUGAUGAUGUGACUUGUUGUGCAGGGGAAAGUUGAUGGUGGGAGGGCUCUCCUUUUCUGGGGGAAAAGGGAGAGAAAGACAGGGGAGACUUGAAGGAUGGAGGUGGGGCAUCCUUGGGAUGUAAGGUACAUAAACUAAAAACAAAUAAUAAAGCUGCUAUUAACAUA